CAGUAGCCACGGGAAUACGUAGGUGGCAAGCGUUGUCCGGAAUUAUUGGGCGUAAAGGGCUCGCAGGCGGCUUCUUAAGUCUGAUGUGAAAGCCCCCGGCUCAACCGGGGAGGGUCAUUGGAAACUGGGAAACUUGAGUGCAGAAGAGGAGAGUGGAAUUCCACGUGUAGCGGUGAAAUGCGUAGAGAUGUGGAGGAACACCAGUGGCGAAGGCGACUCUCUGGUCUGUAACUGACGCUGAGGAGCGAAAGCGUGGGGAGCGAACAGGAUUAGAUACCCGAGUAGUCCCUGUCUCUUAUAA
rnacentral:rRNA from 1 species